GUUUGUAGCUGUUCAGAGCAUACGCCUUCUAAGCGUACGGUCGGGAGUUCGAAUCUCUCCUGGGACGCCA
rnacentral:tRNA from 2 species